GCUAUCAUAUGAUGGUCCGUCAAAAAUUGAUGACUUGUUAAUUUUGACUGCGUUGCACAAAACAAUUUGCACAUGCUUUAAUCGUUCAUCAUACGAUGCUCCGUUAAUCGUCCAUUAGCAAAUAACUAAUUUGGCAACAAGGUCACGAUGUGUCACAGUUUUUCAAUUUGACAUUUGUCACUGGCGAAUUGUUCUACUUUGGUUGUUUUCCUCUUUAUUCUGCUGUGCUGUGUUGUUGUGGUUGUGUGUAAAGGAUGGCGUCCUCGUGUUCUACAUCCUCGAAAACAGUGAACUAUACUCAUAAUAAAAAAAAUAUUUUUCUUUCGAUGGUAGCAAAGUAAGUUUUUAUUAAAUUUGUUUUAAGAAAACCAUUUAUAAGAAUACGAUAAAAGAUUUCAAUACUUUAGUAUUACAAGUAAUUUUAUUCACUUCGUAACUUCCUUUUUCUCUAUUUCCCACUUUCAACUCCUUUAAUGUUCAAUGUUUUCCAAAUUUCAGUUCUUUAAUCCUUGUUAAUGCUUUAUCCUCUAAAUUCUAGAUAUAAUCAUGUUAUCGAAGACAAAAGCACCAAGGCAUGGGCGGUGCAAAAGAAAGCUGAAGCUUGGGAGGAAAUCGCUGAAAAAUUUAAUUGUUUGGCUGAAUCUGGAGCUAGAACGGCCGAGCAAUUAAAUUUUUUUAUGAGAAUCUUAAGCGAGACACGCGCAAAAGAGUGGCACAGGAGCAUCAAGAAGAAUAUGAAGCCCGAAUGAGGAAAGACCAGGCGAAGAUGGCCGCUGCUCACGACAAGGUAAUUACAAAUUUACAUAAUACUAGAGUCAUUUUGUUAGAAAUUAUAUUUACAAAGACUAUAAUAAAAGUAAAAAAUAGUUAUUAAUAUAGAGAAAUAAUGAAAACGGGAGGAGGCAUUUCCAACUUGGAAAUGACCUCUGAACAAGAGGUACUACUGGCCACUCUACGAGAGCAAGUGGAGCCGCUGGUGAAUCCGUACGACAGUGCGGCGGAUUAUUUUAGUAAUACACACGUUAAAUUUGAAAGAGAACCAAAUUUCAUUUUUUAUGUCUUAAUAGAUGAUUAUCGAGAUGA